CACGGUUUAUCCAAGUUGUGACUGUAAUUGAGUUGAACAAUUCAUCCAAAAUCAGUAUAUUUAGCCUCUAUUUUGCUAUUUAAAUUUGAAAAUUCACUCUGCUUCGGAGUUUUGAUGUGAACUUUGAGUUGUGUAAUUUAUAUACACAUAUUAUCUACAUUUGUUUUUCAACCUGGUAUUGGUGAGACACUUUGAUCAGGGAGAUCUCAGUUUUCUGUUCAUAGUGACCUGGACAGUGGAUGGGUGCAGUGUCAUCUUAACAAGACACACUAUGUGGUACAACAGCAGGGGAGUUGGAUAGACUGAGG